UAUUUUAAUUACUUUUCUAUUUUUUUCUACUUAAAUAAAGAAUUGACUAAUUUUCCCCCCUUCUUUAGUGCAAUUUCAAUGAGCUCAGAUAACCACAUGCAGAAUGACAACUGUACUCUUCUGUACCAAUUGUUAUACCUUGGUAUUUUCCACAUACACUCUUUCCUAAGCAAACACACUUUCACAUAAGCAGAUUUAUGCAAAACCCCACAAAUAUGGCUAUUUGUUUAUUCUGAAAGGGGGGGGAAAAAAGAUUGUAUGGUGAACACGAUGGCCCAGCAGAGUUAUUGUUAAAGCAGUAUCUUCAAUCCAUGUGAGUGCAAUUCAGAAUUUAAUUGCCUUUGUCGAGGCAAGGGGGAAGGGAUAUUACAGCAAGGAAGAUGGUUAAACCUUGCAAAAGUAUACUGGCAGGGAGGAUGGCUACUGGAAGAGGUUAAGUCACAGAUCAUGUGAAGAUGUUUGAGAGAUUGAUAUGUUGCCACAAUGUGAAUAUUUUCAGUCAAACCUGCCUACUUCCUAAGAGAGUAGUGGUGUUAUUUGUAGAUGUCCUGAAAUGACUGAACAGAAAGAACAUUGGGAAUGCUGGUUUUCACUCAUGUUGAACUGGAGCUGAUGCUUAAAUAACUAAAAGAGCACUAAUUUGAUUAAUGACUUGGUCAAAGGAGAGAGAGACACACCUGUGAAAAAAGUGCCUAGAGAUGCUAACUGGUGGGACUAUUUGAUGUGAUAACGAGACGAUGGUUGACAAUAAAUUCCUGUGGCAACCCAUAGCAAAUUUGAGGAGACAGGGCAGGAGAUGCUGGCAGAUGAGUCAGAAACCUGAAGUGGGAGAUAUUCUAACUAUUAGAGACAGCACCACACAUUUCUUACUUUUGGUCCUUUGUUUUUGUUUCUUUUUUGUCUUGUUGUUGUUUAGGGUUUUUGUUUAGUCGGUUUUUGGUGUUUUGUUUCGUUUAUUUAAAGGAAAACAACUUUUUUCUGAAAGUCCUCCUUAAGAUCUUUCUGUUAAAGGAACCGUCUGUGGCAGAGAAAUGAAGAGACCUAUUUUGCACAGACCUAUUUGAAAAUAUUUCUUGCCAGGAAACAAGUGCUUCUGAGCCUUUAAGGCUAUGCCUCUACAACAGUUCUAAGAUACACUUGCCUUCAGCAAUAUAACAGUGGUUAACAGAGGUCUACAGAGAAGUUAUUAGCACUAAGACUUAUUUAAGGGAAAUUAUUAGAAGGAAAAGAUUAUAUGGCCAGUUUCUUUCUCUACUUUUCAGUGUUUUCAUCACUAGCUCACUAUAGACUUAAUGUAUUGACAAAAUAAAAUUUUGCUCAUUCUUAUCUGCAGCAAGUGAGCUGCUUAAAUGGUACUGAAGAUUAUUUGCUUCUGUCACUUUUCUAUAAUUAAGGAACACACAAAUUACAUUGCUGUUGCAGCAUCUCCCCACUGUAGGUUUGGAUGUGAGAUUAAGUUAGCAGGGUUUACCAAGUAUCAUUUACACCAUGUGGAUGUGGGGAUGAAUAGGCUCUUAGCCAGCAGCAAAUAUGUGGUGAUGUGACAUGUUCUGACAGGAGAGAAGACUAAGCUAACUUGCACACGGUUUGCCAGUAGUAAAUGCAAAGUAAUACAUGCUGACAAUUCCUGCAGGCCAGCUGAUGCAUAGUGAGUUGUUAAUAGGUGCUAAGUUGAUGGUGCUUCUGAGCUCACAAGACAGUGUAAUGUAGUGUACCACACUGCUUUUGCUUAGAUCCUGUUCUGUCAGUAAUGUCUUCUCUGGGUUUCAGAUCUGUGUGUGUAUGAAUGUGUAUUUCAUUAGACCCAUAGCACCUUAAUAUUGCAAAUUGUGUCAUUGUUCACAGUGGUUGGAAUAGUCCUAUUUAGAAGUAAGUAUGGUAUAUGUAACAGGACAGAAAAAAACAGAAAAAUGGGAGUAAUUGUGCUAAAGGUACUGUGCACUAAACGGAAGCUUGCACCAACAAAAUAGAGAGGAAAAGCUGGAAACCAGUUCUGUGUGGCAACAAGAUGUCCCCUUCUGAGCCUUACUGAGACUGGAUGGAACAAAAUGCUGUGGGGAAGCUGUGCUGCAGCAGCCUAUGGCAGGAUUUAGCACAGACUGCUCAAAGUCAGAUAACUGGACAAUGAAACCCUUUCCACUUGCCCAUCCUCUCUAAUAUGGACAAAUGAAUUCCAACAUGAAUGAAGGGAUAGCAUAUGCUUUUUGAUUUGGGGGUUGAAAUUGAAUGCUAUUCACUGUGCUUGAAAGAUUACUGAACAAUAAGAGAUCGGGGAAAAAACAAGUAAAUAAAACACAAAACAAGCCUUUUCUACCUGUCAUUUUAAAGAAAUGGUAUUCAUUCAAUGGGAGCAAGAAAAUGAAAGUAAAUUUAGGAUUUUUUCCCUCCUGUCUGGAAACACAAGCCAAAAGGAAGAAGAUGAGAAAACACAUACGGAAUUUAGAGUGAAAAUAAUCUAGUGUGUAUGGGAGUGUUGGGGUGGAUGGGAUUAAGAGGAACUGUUUUAAUUAACUGAAGAUGUAGCAAUGGCAAGCUGGAUUUUGUCCUGCACUAAACAAACAUUGAGAUGGCCCUCAGAUUCCCGGAAAAGAAGAUUUUUGGAUGAACACUGUGUAUUCAACAAAAAAACAAGUACCUUAUAUGUUUACCUUUAACUUCUGGACAGAACUCAAAGUUGUUAAAUCUUCUUCGGCUGAUGCAAAGAAUUCCAGAGCCCUUCCCAAGCUGC